UCACUACUUGCGUAGGCAGUCUUCUUAGAGUGCCCAGCAUUACCUGUUGGCAACUAAGAACGAGGGUUGCGCUCGUUGCGGGACUUAACCCAACGCCUCACGGCACGAGCUGACGACAGCCAUGCAGCACCUGUACAAGCUCACCUUGCGGGCACAACCACCUUUCAGCAGCCUUCCGGACAUGUCAAGGGUAGGUAAGGUUGUUCGCGUUGCAUCGAAUUAAUCCACAUCAUCCACCGCUUGUGCGGGUCCCCGUCAAUUCCUUUGAGUUUUAAUCUUGCGAUCGUACUUCCCAGGUGGAUUACUUAAUGCUUUCGCUCAGACACCAACAGUGUAUCGCUGAUGUCGAGUAAUCAUCGUUUAGGGCGUGGACUAC
rnacentral:misc_RNA from 1 species